rnacentral:rRNA from 1 species
AUUGGAGAGUUUGAUCCUGGCUCAGGACGAACGCUGGCGGCGUGCCUAACACAUGCAAGUCGUACGGGACCGGGGGCAACUCCGGUUCAGUGGCAGACGGGUGCGUAACACGUGAGCAACCUGACCGACGGUGGGGGACAGCCAGCCCAACGGCUGGUUAAUACCGCAUACGUUCACUCGGGGGCAUCCCUGAGUGAGGAAAGCAGCCGCAAGGUUGCGCCGACGGGGGGGCUCGCGGCCUAUCAGCUUGUUGGCGGGGUAAUGGCCCACCAAGGCGACGACGGGUAGCUGGUCUGAGAGGAUGGCCAGCCACAUUGGGACUGAGACACGGCCCAGACUCCUACGGGAGGCAGCAGUGGGGAAUAUUGCGCAAUGGCCGCAAGGCUGACGCAGCGACGCCGCGUGUGG